rnacentral:rRNA from 1 species
UGGGGAAUAUUGCACAAUGGACGGAAGUCUGAUGCAGCAACGCCGCGUGCGGGAUGACGGCCUUCGGGUUGUAAACCGCUUUUUCUCAUGGCGAAGUUUUUUGACGGUAGUGGGGGAAGAAGCACCGGCUAACUACGUGCCAGCAGCCGCGGUGAUACGUAGGGUGCGAGCGUUGUCCGGAAUUAUUGGGCGUAAAGAGCUUGUAGGCGGUUUGUCGCGUCGAUAGUGCAAACUCAGUGCUUAACGCUGAGCCUGCUGUUGAUACGGGCAGACUAGAGGAAGGUAGGGGAGAAUGGAAUUCCCGGUGGAGCGGUGGAAUGCGCAGAUAUCGGGAGGAACACCGGUGGCGAAGGCGGUUCUCUGGGCCUUUCCUGACGCUGAGAAGCGAAAGCGUGGGGAGCGAACAGG